CGGAAGGCUUCUGGGCAUAGUCAAGUACUUGCGAAGUCAGAGUGUGAUCGAGAUGGGAUUGACCACUCCAAGAGUUGGAGAAGAAUGAGUCACUGUAUUUCAAUUUAGCAAAACCUUGGCCAGGGUAAUCCAUCAGAUGGAUUUGAUAGUUUGAAAUACAAUGUGGACAACCUGAUCAGAGUUAAUAGUUGAACUCUGGGAUGUCC
rnacentral:lncRNA from 1 species